AGAGUUUGAUCCUGGCUCAGGAUGAACGCUGGCGGCGUGCCUAAUACAUGCAAGUCGAACGCUUCACUUCGGUGAAGAGUGGCGAACGGGUGAGUAAUACAUAAGUAACCUGGCAUCUACAGGGGGAUAACUGAUGGAAACGUCAGCUAAGACCGCAUAGGUGUAGAGAUCGCAUGAACUCUAUAUGAAAAGUGCUACGGGACUGGUAGAUGAUGGACUUAUGGCGCAUUAGCUUGUUGGUAGGGUAACGGCCUACCAAGGCGACGAUGCGUAGCCGACCUGAGAGGGUGACCGGCCACACUGGGACUGAGACACGGCCCAGACUCCUACGGGAGGCAGCAGUAGGGAAUUUUCGGCAAUGGGGGAAACCCUGACCGAGCAACGCCGCGUGAAGGAAGAAGUAAUUCGUUAUGUAAACUUCUGUCAUAGAGGAAGAACGGUGGAUAUAGGGAAUGAUAUCCAAGUGACGGUACUCUAUAAGAAAGCCACGGCUAACUACGUGCCAGCAGCCGCGGUAAUACGUAGGUGGCGAGCGUUAUCCGGAAUUAUUGGGCGUAAAGAGGGAGCAGGCGGCACUAAGGGUCUGUGGUGAAAGAUCGAAGCUUAACUUCGGUAAGCCAUGGAAACCGUAGAGCUAGAGUGUGUGAGAGGAUCGUGGAAUUCCAUGUGUAGCGGUGAAAUGCGUAGAUAUAUGGAGGAACACCAGUGGCGAAGGCGACGAUCUGGCGCAUAACUGACGCUCAGUCCCGAAAGCGUGGGGAGCAAAUAGGAUUAGAUACCCUAGUAGUCCACGCCGUAAACGAUGAGAACUAAGUGUUGGGGAAACUCAGUGCUGCAGUUAACGCAAUAAGUUCUCCGCCUGGGGAGUAUGCACGCAAGUGUGAAACUCAAAGGAAUUGACGGGGGCCCGCACAAGCGGUGGAGUAUGUGGUUUAA
rnacentral:rRNA from 1 species